UUCCGGUUGAUCCCGCCGGACCUGACUGCUAUCGGAUUAAUACUAAGCCAUGCGAGUCUUUGUAGUAAUACAAGGCAUACGGCUCAGUAACACGUAGUCAACCUACCCUAUGGACGAGGAUAAUCUCGGGAAACUGAGCAUAAUACUCGAUAGAUCAUAAUGCCUGGAAUGGUUUAUGGUUGAAAUGACUCAUCGCCAUAGGAUGGGACUGCGGCCUAUCAGCUUGUUGGUGAGGUAAUGGCCCACCAAGGCGAUUACAGGUACGGGCUCUGAGAGGAGAAGCCCGGAGAUGGGUACUAAGACACGGACCCAGGCCCUAUGGGGCGCAGCAGGCGAGAAAACUUUGCAAUGUGCGAAAGCACGACAAGGUUAGUCCGAGUGAUUUCUGCUAAAGAAAUCUUUUGCAAGUUGUAAAACCACUAGUGAAUAAGGGGUGGGCAAGUUCUGGUGUCAGCCGCCGCGGUAAAACCAGCACCUCGAGUGGUCAGGAGGAUUAUUGGGCCUAAAGCAUCCGUAGCCGGCUUUGUUAGUUUUCGGUUAAAUCCAUGUGCUCAACGCAUGGGCUGCCGAAAAUACUGCACAGCUAGGGAGUGGGAGAGGUAGACGGUACUCGGUAGGAAGGGGUAAAAUCCUUUGAUCUAUCGAUGACCACCUGUGGCGAAGGCGGUCUACCAGAACACGUUCGACGGUGAGGGAUGAAAGCUGGGGGAGCAAACCGGAUUAGAUACCCGGGUAGUCCCAGCUGUAAACGAUGCAGACUCGAUGAUGCAUUGGCAUAUAGCUAGUGCAGUGUCGCAGGGAAGCCGUUAAGUCUGCCGCCUGGGAAGUACGUACGCAAGUAUGAAACUUAAAGGAAUUGGCGGGGGAGCACCACAAGGGGUGAAGCCUGCGGUUCAAUUGGAUUCAACGCCGGG
rnacentral:rRNA from 1 species